rnacentral:rRNA from 1 species
UGGGGAAUAUUGGGCAAUGGGGGGAACCCUGACCCAGCAACGCCGCGUGAAGGAAGAAGGUUUUCGGAUUGUAAACUUCUGUCCUUGGUGAAGAGGAAGAGACGGUAGCCAAGGAGGAAGCCCCGGCUAACUACGUGCCAGCAGCCGCGGUAAUACGUAGGUGGCGAGCGUUGUCCGGAAUUACUGGGUGUAAAGGGCGUGUAGGCGGGGAGACAAGUCAGAUGUGAAAUACCGAAGCUUAACUUCGGGGCUGCAUCUGAAACUGUUUUUCUUGAGUGUCGGAGAGGAAAGCGGAAUUCCCAGUGUAGCGGUGAAAUGCGUAGAUAUUGGGAGGAACACCAGUGGCGAAGGCGGCUUUCUGGACGACAACUGACGCUGAGGCGCGAAAGCGUGGGGAGCAAACAGG